rnacentral:lncRNA from 1 species
GUGUAUGCUAUCACUGAAUAUGAUUCUAAAACUUCUGAAUUAGUGGUCGAAGGUAUUAUUCAUGUUUAUGAAAGAAUGCAAAUAUUUGUUUGACCAUGGGUCCCAUCUACGAUUUGAUUCGUAACAUUUUGCUUAUUACUUGGGUAUUCAACCUAGACCACUGCAUUAUGUGCUAUAUUUAAAUACGAUCAUGGGAGAUUCUUUGAUAACGAACUUGAAUCUGGUCCUCUUGUUUGAUUCUUAUUGGAGAACUU